UACGUAGGGUGCGAGCGUUGUCCGGAAUUAUUGGGCGUAAAGAGCUCGUAGGCGGUUUGUCACGUCUGCUGUGAAAUCCCGAGGCUCAACCGUGGAACUGCUCGGUAUACUGCUUUCUUGAGCCACUUAGGGCUGUCGGAACAAACGGUGGAGCGGUGAAAUGCGCAGAUAUCGGGAAGAACACCCGUGGCUAAGGCGGCUCUCUAGUACGGUACUGACGCUGAGACGCGAAAGCGUGGGAGCGAACAGG
rnacentral:rRNA from 1 species